rnacentral:rRNA from 1 species
UACGUAGGGUGCAAGCGUUAAUCGGAAUUACUGGGCGUAAGGCGUGCGCAGGCGGUUGUGCAAGACAGAUGUGAAAUCCCCGGGCUCAACCUGGGAACUGCAUUUGUGACUGCACGGCUAGAGUGUGUCAGAGGGGGGUAGAAUUCCACGUGUAGCAGUGAAAUGCGUAGAUAUGUGGAGGAAUACCGAUGGCGAAGGCAGCCCCCUGGGAUAACACUGACGCUCAUGCACGAAAGCGUGGGGAGCAAACAGG